CUUCACAUCACAAUGCGGAGCACGGCGAGUCCAACAGCUGAUAUCGAAACAAUGGUACCUAUGCAGUACUUGAUGACAUCAUACUUUGCUGCCUCGAGCUGGGCUUUCAGUGAGUGAAUUUCCUGCCAACAGUAGCAAAUCAGACAAACCCUGUUAAUGCCCGACAGUGAGAUAACAGAGCCCACACAUGAAGGCCACUUUACUCACCUUGUCUAGCUUUGUGGUGAGUUCUGUAGUUUCCUCAUUCUGCUUGGCGAGUUCAUCACGGAUGCGCCUGGAAUGAAAGUUUAGAUCCAGCCGCUGACCUGCAGUGACCUUGUCAAUCUCAUACCUUUCACUCCUCAUCUUAUCAAUAUCUCCACGGAGUUUCUCAGUCUCACGCUGCAACAAAGAGAAAUGAUAAUACCUGCGAGCUCUGCACUUGCGACUUGAACUUGGAGAUAUUGGACUCCUGCAGCAUCUCACCUUCUGCAUCUCGGCCUUGGAGACGAAGGACUCGGAGAUGCUCUCGAGGCUGUCGUUGAGGACCUCCGUGAUCGCGGAGGUGAUCGCCUCCGCCUGCUUCGUGGGCACGCCCUGCGACUCCAGCUUCCUUACCAGGGCGAGGGUGUCGACGAGGAAGGCGCGGCGGCCGUUGGUCUUGACGAGCUGCGAGAUG
rnacentral:sRNA from 1 species